rnacentral:snoRNA from 1 species
GGCCUCGCGUGAUGGAUACGUGCCCUGGGAUGACCGUGACCUAACUGGGAUGUAUUCGUACUGUCUGAUGGGGUC